rnacentral:rRNA from 1 species
CGCACGGGUGAGUAACGCGUAUCCAACCUGCCGUCUACUCUUGGACAGCCUUCUGAAAGGAAGAUUAAUACAAGAUGGCAUCAUGAGUCCGCAUGUUCACAUGAUUAAAGGUAUUCCGGUAGACGAUGGGGAUGCGUUCCAUUAGGUAGUAGGCGGGGUAACGGCCCACCUAGUCUUCGAUGGAUAGGGGUUCUGAGAGGAAGGUCCCCCACAUUGGAACUGAGACACGGUCCAA